CCCUUAGAUGUCCUGGGCCGCACGCGCGCUACACUGAUGCAUUCAACGAGUAUUUCCUUGGCCGAGAGGCCUGGGCAAUCUUUUAAACCUGCAUCGUGAUAGGGAUAGAUUAUUGCAAUUAUUAAUCUUGAACGAGGAAUUCCUAGUAAACGCAAAUCAUCAAUUUGCAUUGAUUACGUCCCUGCCCUUUGUACACACCGCCCGUCGCACCUACCGAUUGAAUGGUCCGGUGAAAUCUUCGGAUUGAGACUUUGAUUUCUUCACGGAAAACGCUGUUUUAAAAAGUUGAUUAAACCUUACCAUUUAGAGGAAGGUGAAGUCGUAACA
rnacentral:rRNA from 1 species